rnacentral:rRNA from 1 species
UGGGGAAUUUUGGACAAUGGGCGAAAGCCUGAUCCAGCAAUGCCGCGUGUGUGAAGAAGGCCUUCGGGUUGUAAAGCACUUUUGUCCGGAAAGAAAUCCUUGGCUCUAAUACAGUCGGGGGAUGACGGUACCGGAAGAAUAAGCACCGGCUAACUACGUGCCAGCAGCCGCGGUAAUACGUAGGGUGCAAGCGUUAAUCGGAAUUACUGGGCGUAAAGCGUGCGCAGGCGGUUUGCUAAGACCGAUGUGAAAUCCCCGGGCUCAACCUGGGAACUGCAUUGGUGACUGGCAGGCUAGAGUAUGGCAGAGGGGGGUAGAAUUCCACGUGUAGCAGUGAAAUGCGUAGAGAUGUGGAGGAAUACCGAUGGCGAAGGCAGCCCCCUGGGCCAAUACUGACGCUCAUGCACGAAAGCGUGGGGAGCAAACAGGAUUAGAUACCCUGGUAGUCCACGCCCUAAACGAUGUCAACUAGUUGUUGGGGAUUCAUUUCCUUAGUAACGUAGCUAACGCGUGAAGUUGACCGCCUGGGGAGUACGGUCGCAAGAUUAAAACUUCAAAUGAAUUGACGGGGUCAUAGCUGUUU